UUUGGGCGUAAUUGAGUAGUCUAAUAUUGUUCCGGUUUUGGUUCUUGUGAACGUUGACAUCGAUUCGUUCGAAAUUUACACUCUCAGGGCAUAAUAGAACAAGAUAAUUAGGUUUUACUCUUUGUUCAAUAGAAUGAGAAAAAGUAUUCGUUGCAAAUUUAUACUGUUAGGCCGCUACUGAGUAGUCUAAUGUUGUUCCGAUUUUGGUUCUUG
rnacentral:lncRNA from 1 species